UACAUCUAGAUCCAUACCCCUAAACUCCCUAGAUGUUUUUGGACAGCCAAAGGGCUGUCCCUUUUU
rnacentral:sRNA from 1 species